CCUGGUUGAUCUUGCCAGUAGCAUAUGCUUGUCUCAAAGAUUAAGCCGUGCACGUGUAAGUACACACGGCCGGUACAGUGAAACUGCGAAGGGCUCAUUAAAUCAGUUAUGGUUCCGUUUGAUCGCUCCAUCUGUUACUUGGAUACCUGUGGUAAUUCUAAAGCUAAUACAUGCGGCGAGCGCAGACCUACCAGGAUGCGUGCAUUUAUCAGACCAAGACUAAUCCAGGCUCGCCGGCCCCUUUGGUGACGCUAGAUAACCUUGGGCCGAUUGCACGUCCCCAUGACGACAAAGAUGCAUUCGGAUCGGAUGUGUGCCCUAUCAACUUUCGAUGGUGGUGACCACGUGUAAUGGGGAAUCGGUGUUGGAUUCCGGAGAGGGAGCCUGAGAAGUGGCUACCACACCCAAGGAAGGCAGCAUGCGCGCAAAUUACCCACUCCCGACUCCGGGAGGUAGUGACGAAAAAUAAUAUAGGACUCUUUUGCGGCACUGUAAUUGGAAUGAGUACACUUUAUAUCCUUUAACGAGUACCCAUUGGAGGGAAAGUCUGAUGCCAGCACCCACGGUAAUUCCAGCUCCAAUAGCGUAUAUUAAAGUUGCUGCAGUUAAAAAGCUUGUAGUUGGAGCUUGGGAUCGAGCUGGCGGUCCGCCGCGAGGUGAGCUACCGCCUGUCCCACCCCCUGCAACUCACCGCCCCCAUGAAGCUCUUGCCUGAGUGUCCAGGAGGUCUGAAGCGUUUACUUUGAAAAAAUAUGAGUGUUCAAAGCAGGCCGGUCGCCUGAAUACUUCAGCUAGGAAGAAUGGAAUAGGACUCCGGUUCUAUUUUGUUGGUCUUCAGAACUGUGGCACUUGUAUUGGGGCAUGAGACGGCCGGGGGCACUCGUAUUGUGCCGCUACAGGUGAAGUUAUUGGACCAGCGCAAGACAAACCAAAGCGAAAGCAUUAGCCAAGAAUGUUUUCAUUAAUCAAGAACGAAAGUCUGAGGUUCGAAGAUGAUCUGAUACCAUUGUAGCUCAGACCAUAAACUAUGCAGACUAGUGAUAUGGCUGUGUUUUUCCCAUGACCCGCUGAGUAGCUUCUGCGAAUCCAAAGUCUUUGGGUUCCGGGAGAGUAUGGUUGCAAAGCUGAAACUUAAAGGAAUUGACGGAAGGGCACCACCAUGAAACCUCACCCGGCCCGGUCAUGAAAAGGAUUGACAGAUUGAUAGUUCUUUCUCGAUUCUGUGGGUGGUGGUGCAUGGCCGUUCUUAGUUGGUGGAGCGAUUUGUCUGGUUAAUUCCAAUUAGGAAGAGAUAAGUGGAGAGAUUUCAGGGCUGGAAAGAUACAGUUGCUGGGCUUGAGGCCAAGGAUAAGUCUUGCAGUCCUGUUCUGGAUAAGUUGCAGGGAUUGAAGAGUAGAGUUAGGCAAUUGAGAAAGAGGCUAGAACCCAGGGCUCUGGAGAGUGAACUUCUGGGGCAAAGUGAGAAAAGGUAUAAUACCUCUGACGAGGUGAAGCUGAAAGUGGGCCUUCU
rnacentral:rRNA from 1 species